UACGUAGGGUGCAAGCGUUAAUCGGAAUUACUGGGCGUAAAGCGUGCGCAGGCGGUGAUGUAAGACAGUUGUGAAAUCCCCGGGCUCAACCUGGGAACUGCAUCUGUGACUGCAUCGCUGGAGUGCGGCAGAGGGGGAUGGAAUUCCGCGUGUAGCAGUGAAAUGCGUAGAUAUGCGGAGGAACACCGAUGGCGAAGGCAAUCCCCUGGGCCUGCACUGACGCUCAUGCACGAAGCGUGGGAGCAACAGG
rnacentral:rRNA from 1 species